UUAUUUCUGCUCACGCAUUCAAUUAUUGAACGACAAAGCUGUCAAGUCCGAUAUAUUUUUCAAAGUGUUUAUUUCUGCUCACGCAUUCAAUUAUUGAACGACAAAGCUGUCAAAUCCGUUAUAUUUUUCAAGGUGUUUCUUUCUGCUCAACCAUUCAAUUAUUGAACGACAAAGCUGUCAAGUCCGAUAUGUUUUUAAAAGUGUUUAUUUCUGCUCACGCAUUCAAUUAUUGAACGACAAAGCUGUCAAGUCCGAUAUAUUUUUCAAAGUGUUUAUUUCUGCUCACGCAUUCAAUUAUUGAACGACAAAGCUGUCAAAUCCGUUAUAUUUUUCAAGGUGUUUCUUUCUGCUCAACCAUUCAAUUAUUGAACGACAAAGCUGUCA